AGUCGGGAGGCGUCGCCGCUGCCUUCGCCUCCUGCGGCGGCGGCGUAUAGGGCAGGAGGAACAGGGGAGGCGACCGGGAGUUGCAUGCGCCGGUUGGGAAGAAGCAGUACGGCCUCAUGGCCGUUAUCGGAUCGGGAUGGAGGCAAUCCAGCCUGACACAGUUGCAUUUGGACUGCAUUAGGCAAGGUCCGGUAGGGGAUGGCUCGUGUUGGGUUCAGUCCGAACCGGUCCACGGGCCGGGUUGGGUGGAAGUUGCUCAGCCUGGGAACCAGGCCGGAUGCAGUUUGAUCACCGGCUAUUCUCCGCUCCAUGCGCAUAAGGAAGUGCCCAGAGACAGCCCGGCGUUCAUGGAAAGCCUCCGCCGCUUCCACUCCGCCGACCGAAAUGAUCAUUAAGUUCGUGUAAAGCUCCUUCCUUUAUCGGAUCUGAGUAUUUGUUUCCACUUUUGUAAUCGAUUGAUUUCAUCAAAAGUCUUCCUUGGCGGAGGAGGGUGCCGGUGAUCGGGGGGAAGGAGCUGUACCUGCAUCUCUUGUAUGUAGAGGUGACUCGAAGGGGAGGGCUCGCAAAGGUCUGAUUUUUGUUUGCUUCGUCUACGAUUUGAGGAGUAAAUGCAUCGUUUUUGUGAUCAAUGGGGGAGUGCAGGUGAUCGAGGAGAAGAAAUGGCGGGAACUGAUGGCGGCGUUCGAGUUCCCGCCCACCACCCACCACCAGAGCCUCCUUCGUGCUGCGCAGGUACUACCUGAGCUUGCUCCACCAUUACGAGCAGGUCUGCUACUUCCGGACGAGCGGCGCCUUCGUUCCUCCUGCAGCCUCCUCGCGAACCAGAGCGCCUCCCAGCUAUAGAGACGAACGCGGUGAAGUGGCCUCCGGCGCCGCGCCGUGCGGACUCCGAGAUAUCGCAAAAGGCCCUCGGAUGAGCCGCCGAACAAGGGUGACGCUUGCCGAUCUCUUUCCGAACCUUUCUUUUUCAGUGUGCGACCGCAUCGACUUGAUUCACGAACUCGUCGCCCGCCUUCAGCAGGGCCUCACAGCUUUACGGUCUCGGGAUCGAUCGACGGCAAGUUCGAGUACGGCUACAUGGUGACGGUGAAGAUCGGCACCGAGACACUCAGAGGCGUGCUGUAUCAUGUCCAGAGCAGCCGUCACCAGCUGCGACACCUGCAGCUCCUGAAAGUUCGAGCUAAGGACAAGGCGGCGGCAGCGCCGCCGCGACCCUGCGCACCCGAAGCCGAACAGGAGGGCCCACAAUUUCUUCUUCGCCGAGAAGCAUUCCAAGCUGAAAGUUCUGUACCUUCACAGGGAGAGUCAUGGAGCAAGCUCAACGAAAAGGACAGAAUGGAUUUUGGAAUCAAAGACAAGGAGAGAUACAAGAAAGAAAUACAGGAACACAAGGAAAGGUUG